rnacentral:rRNA from 1 species
GACGAACGCUGGCGGCGUGCCUAAUACAUGCAAGUCGAGCGAAGCGGCGGAUGGGUGAGUAACGCGUGGGUAACCUGCCCUUAAGCCUGGGAUACCAUUUGGAAACAGAUGCUAAUACCGGAUACUAAAGGAGUGACCUGCGUUGCAUUAGCUAGUUGGUAAGGUAACGGCUUACCAAGGCGAUGAUGCAUAGCCGGGUUGAGAGAAUGAUCGGCCACAUUGGGACUGAGACACGGCCCAAACUCCUACGGGAGGCAGCAGUAGGGAAUAUUCCACAAUGGACGAAAGCCUGAUGCAGCCAUGCCGCGUGUAUGAAGAAGGCCUUCGGGUUGUAAAGUACUUUCAGCGGGGAGGCGUUACUCGCAGAAGAAGCACCGGCUAACUCCGUGCCAGCCGCCGCGGUAAUUC